GCCCUCGUAGCUCAGGGGAUAGAGCACAGGAUUCCUAAUCCUGGUGUCGUAUGUUCGAUUCAUACCGAGGGCACCA
rnacentral:tRNA from 1 species